UAGCAAUAUCAUAGUGGCGCACGGGUGCGUAACACGUAUGCAACCUACCUUAUACUGAGGGAUAGCCUUUCGAAAGGGAGAUUAAUACCUCAUAACACAUUGAACUGGCAUCAGUUUAUUGUUAAAGAUUUAUUGGUAUAAGAUGGGCAUGCGUCCAAUUAGUUAGUUGGUGAGGUAACGGCUCACCAAGACGAUGAUUGGUAGGGGAACUGAGAGGUUAAUCCCCCACACUGGCACUGAGAUACGGGCCAGACUCCUACGGGAGGCAGCAGUAGGGAAUAUUGGGCAAUGGAGGCAACUCUGACCCAGCCAUGCCGCGUGCAGGAAGAAGGCGUUAUGCGUUGUAAACUGCUUUUAUAUAGGAAGAAAUAGACCUUGCGAGGUAAGUUGACGGUACUAUAUGAAUAAGCACCGGCUAACUCCGUGCCAGCAGCCGCGGUAAUACGGAGGGUGCAAGCGUUGUCCGGAUUUAUUGGGUUUAAAGGGUGCGUAGGCGGUUUAUUAAGUCAGUGGUGAAAGACGGUCGCUCAACGAUUGCAGUGCCAUUGAUACUGGUAGACUUGAGUGGGAUUGAGGUAGCUGGAAUGGAUAGUUGUAGNCGGUGAAAUGCAUAGAUAUUAUCCAGAACACCAAUUGCGUAGGCAAGUUACUAAGUCUCAACUGACGCUGAG
rnacentral:rRNA from 1 species